rnacentral:lncRNA from 1 species
GUUUUAGUGGCUCCAUUUUUACUAGCCUUUGCAAUUUAAAUUAGUAACUAUGGCCGGUGAUUGACUUGAUGGAAUGAAAUUUGUCUGUUAUUCUUACUUUCUUCUUUGGAUUUUUGGUGAUGAUUAUGGCCGUUGCAAUGGUUGGAUUUGGUAUGUUCUUGGUGAUUAUGGCCGAUGAUUGCUUUGAUUCAUGGGUUGCCUCGUGGUUUUCUUUCUUCCUUCUUUAUGUUAGGUGAUGAUUGUGGCCCUUUUUAUUAGAUUUGAUUUAUGGGUGGGAUGAUGAGGUUGUUUGAU